GCUGUUGGAGUGUUACCCUUUCGUAGCGGAGCUAACGCGUUAAGCAUCCCGCCUGGGGAGUACGGUCGCAAGAUUAAAACUCAAAGAAAUUGACGGGGACCCGCACAAGCAGUGGAGCAUGUGGUUCAAUUCGACGCAACGCGAAGAACCUUAUCCUGGUCUUGACAUACAUUGGACCGGUCCGUGAAAGCGGCCUUUCCCCGCAAGGGGACCGAUGUACAGGUGCUGCAUGGCUGUCGUCAGCUCGUGUCGUGAGAUGUUGGGUUAAGUCCCGCAACGAGCGCAACCCACGCCCUUUGUUGCCAGCAUUUAGUUGGGCACUCUAAGGGGACUGCCAGCGUUAAGCUGGAGGAAGGUGUGGAUGACGUCAAGUCCUCAUGGCCCUUAUGAUCAGGGCUACACACGUGCUACAAUGCGUCGUACAAAGGGUUGCCAAGUAGUGAUACGGAGCCAAUCCCAAAAAACGACGCUCAGUUCGGAUUGAAGUCUGCAACUCGACUUCAUGAAGCUGGAAUUGCUAGUAAUCGCAGAUCAGAACGCUGCGGUGAAUACGUUCUCGGGCCUUGUACACACCGCC
rnacentral:rRNA from 1 species